AACGAACGCUGGCGGCGCGCUUAACACAUGCAAGUCGAGCGAGAACCAUGGCUUCGGCCAUGGGGACAGCAGCGAACGGGUGAGUAACACGUGGGUAAUCUGCCCUCGGCACUGGGAUAGCCCGGGGAAACCCGGAUUAAUACCGGAUAGCCUUUCGAGCUCUUGGGCUCGUCAGAAAAGGUAGCUUCGGCCUCCGGCCGAGGAGGAGCCCGCGGCGGAUUAGCUUGUUGGUGAGGUAAAGGCUCACCAAGGCGACGAUCCGUAGCUGGUGUGAGAGCAUGACCAGCCACACUGGGACUGGGACACGGCCCAGACUCCGACGGGAGGCAGCAGUGGGGAAUCUUGCGCAAUGGGCGAAAGCCUGACGCAGCGACGCCGCGUGCGGGAAGGAGGCCUUCGGGUUGUAAACCGCUUUCAGGAGGGACGAAGCCACUCGGGUGAAUAGCCCAGAGGGUGACGGUACCUCCAGAAGAAGCCCCGGCUAACCACGUGCCAGCCGCCGCCGUAAUAC
rnacentral:rRNA from 1 species